rnacentral:lncRNA from 1 species
CUGUCUCAUGGCUGCUUGCCAUGCUGGAACAGAUGCAGCCUGAGAGUAAUAUAGAGGCUCAGAUUCCAAAGAGGAGGAAGAUGAACCAGAGAAGGCAUGGAGUUGACAGACAUAACCCUUAAGAUAGGAAGGAGGAUUAUGUUGUCUUUGAGACUUUCGGGGAGCAGGAAUAGAGGGAGAAGAAGCUAAAACAGGAGGUGAGCUGGCAGGAUUGAAAGGAGAAGGGAGGGCUGAAGCAGUUGGGACAGUGACAGGAAAAGGCAUCUGCAAAGAUGAGGGAGAAGAGGGAGGAGAGAAGUGAAUGGGAGAAUCAGAAUCAUCAUCAUGUUCUCCAGAAGGAACAAAGGGAAAAGAUGAAGCAGGAGAAUGAGCAGAAGGAGGCACAGAUUUAAAAGGAAAACACGAUUCAUGAAAGAGGACAUCCCUGGAGACCAAAUACUUCUUGGAAGCAAGAUCAUAUAAUCUAUAACCCUUAGAGGAGAGAGGGGAAUGGGAGAAUCAGAGGCAUCAUCAUGUUCUCCAGAUGGAACAACGGGAAAGGGAGAAGCAGGAGGAUGAGCAGAAGGAGACACAGAUUUAAAAGGAAAACAUGAUUCAUGAAAGAGAACAUCCCUGGAGACCAAAUACUUCUUNNNNNNNNNNNNNNNNNNNNNNNNNNNNNNNNNNNNNNNNNNNNNNNNNNNNAGAACAUCCCUGGAGACCAAAUACUUCUUUGAAGCAAGAUCAUAUAAUCUAUAACCCUUUUUGCCAAAAGGAUAUCCCAGGAAAACACAAGGAUGGCUUUAACUUGUCCCUUUGAGGGAUGGGAACUGUGGCAUAGGCAAUGCAACCAAAAGUCUUCAAGUGAGUAUAGGUUGGAAUUUCCCCAUACAAAAUUUCAUGAGGAGACUUAUUAUGGUGGGUAUUCUGUUAAGUAGAUAGGUAGCAGUCAACAAACAAUCCCCCCAGAAAGAUACUGGCAAGCCAGAUUGAAAAAGCAAAGCCCUACAGGUUUCAAGGAGAGUUCUAUGCUUUCUCUCAAGAACACCAUUUUGUUGAGGGGUGUGAGGGCAGGAGGUUUGAUGUAUGAUCCCUUGGCUGCUAAAGAAAGAAAUACCCUCAUUGCUAGAGCCCAAUUCUAAGGCAUUGUCACUUCUANN